CAAGUUAAUUUGUCAAUUUAAUGUUGCCUAAAAAGUUUGAUCUCGUGGAUGAAGAAAGUGAAACAAAAAAUUAUACACGCUAGUUCCGGAACAACCAACAGGAAGUUGGCUUCCACUACCGAAUCCUAUUACCGGAAGUCGGUUUUGACUAUCGGAUUCUUCCACCGACAGUCACAUUUAACCGUCGGCUGGUUGUUCCGAGCAACCUUUUGUUGUUAAUUGAGUUGCGUUUGGGAUUUAAAUUGUUGUCCACUAAGUGUUUGUUGAAAUGACACUGUUUUUUCAUAUUGUAAUUUGACUUUUUUGAAGUCUUCUUGCAUCAUGCCUUAUGGUUAUGAGUCUUUUGAUAGUGUGAGACAUGAGAGUUUGAAACAGCUAUGGGUGUUUCUAGUCAUGCUUAUUUUUAGGUUGUUAUUAACUCCCCUGAUUAAUUUUUUUAAAACUUAAUUGGAGGCCUUGUGCCAGUAAAGCUCAGACUUCAAUUGGAAAUAUUAUUGUUGUUGAUGUGUUGUAAACGGCAAGAUGUAUUGGACCUGGGGGUGGGGGGGGUCAACUUAUUUGUUGUCUACUGCUUUUUGAAUGUUGGUUAUUUGGGGUUAAAUCACCGACUAGUUAUAAUUUGUCUAAGAUUCAAAGUGAGCUGAUUUAAAGUCUUGCAUUAGUCCAAUACACUAAUCUACUUGGUAUUUUAUUAUUAUUAUUAUUAUUAUUAUUAUUACUAGAUUAGGUCCCGUGCACGCACAGAUAUUCAAAAAUUAUUAUUUGAUCAUCUUUUUUUAUAAAAUAUUAACCGAAAUAUUUAUUGCUUAAAGCUAAUGCUUAAUUAAUAAAUCUUGAAUGUACUCAAUCUAAUAUGAAAUUUUCUCCCUAAUACGUAUUACGGAGUAUAUAUUUUAUAUGUUGAAUAUGAUAAUUUGACCAAAAUAUUUAAUAUGCUUAAUAUGUUAAUUUGACCAAAUUAAAUAUUGAGUAAUUAUAUAUUUUCUAUAAUUGAUAUGUCGAUUUGACUAAAAUAUUACCAGAAUCGUUUAAUACUGUAAUAUACUAUAAUCUUUUUUUUCCCAUAUAUAGCAGUUUAUACAAAAGGGAGAGAAAAUAAAAUAAUAAAUAAAGUAGAUACGUUUUUUUAGGAAAUGGUUUUUGGCGGGAAAAUUUUGUACCAAGAAAUGACAUGUGUCAUUCCUGGUGUAUGUUUUAGUAUAAUGUAAUAGAUUAUUAUUAUUAUUAUUAUUAUUAUUAUUAUUAUUAUUAUUAUUAUUAUUUGGCUGCAUAAAAAAUAUCCUUGGGCCAUUAAUAUAUCAAAUGUCAGCUAAGACCCCUACGACACUUAGCUUUGUGCUAAAUUGGAUGUGUGCUAAAAAUUACUUUCAACCUGCCGUAGUUUGAGUACUCUGGGAGUCUGCUCAAUACUUGUUUGACAUACCAUUUCCAGUCUUCCAGUUACAGUACAAGGCAGUUUGCCUGUGAUGCCAUUGUGCAUUAUACUCCCUUUCUUUGAAAAAAAAAAAUCCCCUUAUACCCACUAGCUUCUGAUUAAGUAGGAAUUAAGCAUGAUUUUUUAACUUGUUAUCUUCUAUGUGAAAAUAAGAAUUUAAAUUUACACGUGAGAUUAUUUUCCAUCAUCAUCAAUAUAUAGUACAAUGUAUUGCUAAUCCUACAAGGACCAAGAAGCCUAGUAGUACUCACCAACUAAAUAACGUAUUAAGGUAAUUUAUUUCUAGACUAACACACAAAUAUUAUUAUCCUAGGCUAACACAAACACUAUUAUAUAUCCUAAUUCUAAUUAUUAUACUUCUGUAAUAUCCUCCUUCACAUUGGAGCAUGGUGAGGAUCAUGGCUAGCUAGGACUGUAAUGAGCAAGAGUAUAUUCUUAGUUGUCCACUUGAACUCGAAUGUGUUUUAAUGUUUACAGAUGUCACAUGUAACAAGAGGUGGUAGAGGUGGUAGGGGUGGAGGUCGUACUAACAAGAGGGUCAUUGAAGAUGAUCUUGUGCCACUGAUAUGUCCAACCGUAUCUAAUAGAACUAAAAAAGCUCGAAAAAUAAUACUUAAGCUGCCUACUCCAAAUUGUAGGCCAGAAUACAGUGAACAAAGUAAUCGUGUUGAAGAAUACUUGAAUUCAUUUCAAAAAUCACUUGAAAGUUCUGAAAACAAAAAGAAUACUCCCUCCGUCCCAAAUUAGUCGUUACACUUACCUUUGCACAAAGUUUUAGGUGAUAAGUGGUUGUUUGGUUAUCAAUUGUUAUUUUAUUGAAAAAGUAGAUGUGAUAGGAGUUAGUGGGGUAUUUUUUUAAUUGAAUGAGAGAGUAUGUAAGGUAAAAAAAGAAAAAUUAGUAGGAAGAGAGAGACAAUAUAAUAAUUGUGGGGUCAUUCCUAAUUUAGAAGUGUAACAACUAAUCUGGGAAGGACGAAAAAGGAAAGUGUAACAACUAAUCUAGGACGGAAGGAGUAUUAUGUUUGAAGUGGGUCAUCAAACUAACAAUGGUGAUAAAAAUUAUGAUGAUAAUGAGGAGGAGGAGGAGCCUUUACAACGACAAUAUGGGUCAAGAAUAAGUAGUUAUCGAGGUACCUUUGAGGUACAUGGUCGAUUUGGUGUGGGAAGACGCAUGGAAGAAGUUUUUUUUUUAGAUGAAUACAGUGAAUUGCAAGAACCAAUUCAGGGUGGCCCUAAAAAUCCUGAGUUAUUAAAGAGUUUUUGCGGUCACGUUGCUUAUUAUAUUUGGCAUAAUCAGGUAGGAACUCUUAAAACUCAACUUAAUUUAUUCAUUUUUGUAGUAUUUUAAGUUGCUGAAUUGUUUAUUAAAUGUUUGUAUGAUAAUUAAUCUAGUGAAUUUCUUUGAUGUUUAUUUGUUUUCCUCUUUUUUUUACGAACUGUGUUAAAAGGUCACAAGCAAAGUGAGUGUUUAAUGAAGUGAAAACUAAUAUGAAGGAGGUGAAGGCGUUAAUCGAGUGUACUGAACUUUCUCAUGUGGUUGAGUGUAUGUAUUCUAACUUGAACAUGCCGUUAGUAUCUGUUUUUGUGGAGAAGUGGCACUCCGAAAUGAAUUCUUUUCAUCUAUCAUUUGGAGAGAUAACCAUAACUCUUACAUGACGUGGCAUUCAUUCUGUGUUUCCUCACUGGAGAAGCUGUUUUUGGAAAACCUAGUGUUUUUUAAGAAUUGAAGGGUCAUCUUAAAAAUAUCCUUAAUAUAUUUGAAGGCGGUGUGAAAAAAGAAUAUCAUAAUGGAAAUGUUAGGAUUAUUUCUUGAUGAACUAAAAAGUGAUACCGCAGGUGCACGAUAUCUGUUGUUAGCAGAUACUUAGCAAAUACGGGUCGAUCCCACAGGGAGACAAGUUCUACUAGUUUUUGCUCAAUUAUAUAAACUAUUUCAAUAAACAAAAGGUAAUUUUUUUGUUUAAAACUAAUGAAACUAAAACAAUAAUAUAAAUGUAGGAUUUAUCAAUGAAUUAAAGAUCUAGGGCGUACGUUUGGUCCGCCAUGCUUAUACCUUAUCCAAGAACACAAAUCAAUCCGGAAAUAAAUAAACUAGGCCGAUUAAUUAAAGUACAUGUUAAUCCUACGGCCGGGUCUUAACACUUUCAAUCCAACAUAUGCAGUACGGUCGCUAACAUAGUAAGAAUUGCCAAUUGUUCCAAGCCUCUAAGAAUACGAUCUUUCAUUUCUAAUUCCUAUUAGCUAGACAAUCAAUCCAUGAUAUUGGCCAAUUACAUGAAUCAACAAUUAAGAACAAAUCAAUUGGAAUUACUCAAGCAUACUCUAUAAAUGAACAAACUUCAAUGCAUAACAAUCAUGGUAUAAACAUGGCAUCCCUUACUUAGCCCUAGAAAACGACUACUCACUCAUAACUAAAUUAAUAAAUAUGAAAUAUGAACUAAUGAUGAAAUUCAUAAUGAACAAUAAUAAGAAACAAUAAUUCAAAGCAAGAAGAAUUCUGAAAAUACCUCUAUAUUGAUCAAUGGAAUGAAACGUACUAGGGUUCAAUAAUAUGAAGAGAGAAAAUAAAAUUAAGCGUGAAAAGAAUUCUAGGAAUUAAAAACAUGAGGGAAAUAAAUUCAUUCCCUUGAAUUAUUUAUAGUUUCUAUUUUCUAAGAUAAAAAAAAAGAAUGAGAAAAUAAGAAAAUGAAAAUAAAAAUAUAAGUUGUCGAUAAUUAGUCGAUGGACGAUGACGUGGCAAUGAAACCCGAGCAGGACCAAGUCACCCAAACGACACAUAAGGGAGCUAUGUGGGCGGAGGCACCUCGCAGGCCGAAGGAUCCCUCGCUGGUCCCCAGGCAUCUCUCGUUGGGAUGUGCGCGAAGCGGGUUGGUGCGGGCAUGCAGGCAAUGCAACAAGGCAUCUAGGGAUCCCUCGUCGGGUGUCGAGCCAUCCCUCGCUGGAGGCUUGUUGUGAUGUGUGCGGCAAAGGGAUGGGCAAGUUGAUGUGGUGUGCAUGAUGAAGGGCAGCGACAGCGCGAGACCCCUCGCUGGAGGCGAGUGAACCCUCGAUGGGACUGUUGCGCGACGAAGCAUGGUGGGCGGAAAAUCCAGCGUGGGCGCUGGAUUUCCAGCGGGCACGACGUCAAGGUUAAAUUAGUUGAGAUCGAAGAGCUGGCGGGACCGCUGGGAGGGCGCUAGAUUUUGUGCACAAGGAGAGGGGUUGGGCCAGCGUUGUGGGUUGUGGGCUCAUUAGAUAGUUGAGUCACCUUUGUUUACGUCAUAACUCUUGUUCUACAAUGCCCCUAGAGACGUAUGACCAAUCGUUGGAAAGCUCUUUAAGCCUACUUUCUAGCCCAAUCAAAAUAUUUGCAUUUAGAUAUAUAGAACUUGAGAUAUCAUCAAAAGAGUGAACGCUUGUCCAUUUUGAUGCUUAGAAAAAUAAAGUUUAGCUUCGUUGUUGACUCAAAAUUAUCCCUAGAGACAUGUAAUGAUCUUCGAGUCAACAUCCCAUCCUUUCAUCAUCCAACUCAACUCUAAACACUCCGAAAGCAUCCAACUGACCGUAAAAAGUUAAAGAAAACACAAAUGGGGCGUACUAGAGUACGAUAACGACAACUUAUGCAAAUGUGACCCUAAAUGCAACUAAAAUGAGACGAAUGCCUAGAAAUGUAGCCUAAAUGCGCCUAAAAUACCAUAUAUAAAUAUGAUUCACCCGUUCUAUACAGGAUUUGUGUUCAUCAAAUAAUAAUAAUUCAUUUCCCAAGCUACGGGGUUUUUUGUUAUGGAUGUUUUAAGGUCUACUAUUUUUGUAGAUAGGUCAUUGACUGGUGUCUGGUUCUUAUUACCUUCCUUACUUGGUUAAUGUGGAAGUGGUGAAAGAUUAUGCUUGGGGUGCAGUGUGUUUAACUUACUUGUAUCGUCAGUUAGGGGUGGCUUCGAGGUUUGAAAAUGCCCAAAUUGUUGGUUGCUUAACUUUGCUUCAGGUAAAUUUUACCCAAACAAAUUUUGUUAUGGAUCAUAUUUUGGCUUUUUGUAAUUUGAAAUGCAAUAACUUUUUCUAGUCUUGGAUAUAUGAGUAUUUCCCAACAUUUAGGCCCCGGAUGAUGAAAAAUGGAAUUCAAAUUUGCUGCAUGCAUCACGAUGGGUCCCUCCGCGUGUUCAAAGUAUUGGCAUUGAUUAUGUAGUUUCUUAUAGGCGCAUGUUAGACGAUAUGAGAGUGGAAGAGUACUUGGGUGCUCGAGCUUACCCACUUCAUCGUGAUGUUAGAAACCAAACCGAUCAAGUGACAUUUUGGCAAUGCCUCGAUGAUUUAACUCAAAAUUUGGAAUAUUGGAUGUCGAGAUUACAAGAUGAUCAUAUGAGGAGAGGUGAAGGUGGUAGUUCAAGAAGGGGAGGUUAAUUUGUCGAUUUUUUUUUUCACGUUAUGGAUGUUUGUGAUAUUGAUGCUUUUGGUUUUUGUAGUACUAGUUUUUAUUUUUAAAUUGGAAUAAAGGAAGAGUUUUUAUUGUUGA